AAGUUGGGGGUCUUCUGGUUUCUUCUGACUGCUCCCCUCAGGACCAAGAGUGGUUGGAGGCAGGCUGGGGAGGAGGGCAGGUCGUGCAGAUCCUCAGGAGAUGGAAAAUGCCCGGGACAGACAGGUCAGAAACAGAUUCAAUACUUAGAAUGGCACAGCUUAGUUUAUGGAUUUUUUAUUUUAUUUUUUGGUACCAAGGAUUGAACCCAGGGGUGCUUAACCAUGAGCUACAACCUCAGCCCUUACUUGCAUUUUAUUUAGAGACAGGGUCUCACUGA
rnacentral:lncRNA from 1 species